UGCAAGUCCGUUAACGACACCAUUUUGUCACAUUAAUGUGAUUGUGUGUGAAUUUAAUGAGCUUUGAAUAAGAAGGUUGAAACUUUGUUUUACAUAAAUACAAAAAUGGAUGAAUAUACUUCUGUUCUAUCUAGGUUCAGAGCCCUCUUAACAACUAUCUUGCUUUCGAAGAAAGAAAAAAUGGAAGAUAUGCUUUGGAAGUCUGACAAGACAGACUCCAGUAAGAAUCCUCAGCGUUGAUCAAGCAAGUCCACAACUAACCCCAUCUAGAGUGGGAAUCAGCUUGGAAGAAAGCUUUGUAAUGGAUGAUCCAGCCGAUCUCAGACCUUCUAUGUCCAUUUUUUCAGACUGAUUUAUGCCAUGCACCUGGACUAAGUGUUUGAAAAGCACUUUAUAUUUUAUUCAUAAUGCUCAACUUCGGAAAGUUGAGUUAGCACCUACAAAUUCAGUACUGCCAGUGUUUUGGAAUAAAACCAUAUAGUUUUGAUGCCGUUUGUUGUGAUUCUGAGAUAAACUGUUUUAUGUUAGUUUAUUAAACUAGUUAUUGCAUGUUUUAUGGGGAAAUUUUUCAGAUAAAAAUUCAUGUUUUGUUGUGUUUUUAAAUUAAUAUUUGGAUCCCACUGUGUUCUGGUUAAAGAUAGAUAGAUAGAUAGAUAGAUAGAUAGAUAGAUAGAUAGAUAGAUAGAUAGAUAGAUAGAUAGAUAGAUAGAUAGAUAGAUAGAUAGAUAGAUAGAUAGAUAGAUAGAUAGAUAGAUAGAUAGAUAUGUAAAUGGAAAUUGCUAAGGUUUGCAUAUGGUGGUGGGUCGCCGUGAUUUUGCCAAGUAAGACAUGUUCCUGGAUCAACAUCUUUUGAUGAUCCUGGAUCAACAUUAUUGUCCAAAAAUAUAGCCUUAACCCAAUCCCUACCCCUACCCAUAAUGUAUUUCUCAAAUCAGUGGGAAAUGAUAGCCGAUUAACAAAGGUGUAGAAGAACCUAACCCUGAUUGUAAGCCUAAAACAGAUAUUUCCUGAAAAGUUAUCCCUCGAUUCUGAUUGGUUGACAGGAAUGUUGUACUUGGUGAAAUCACGCUCGCCAUGGUGGUGUUCUAAAUGACAGUUUUCCCAAAAUGAUAUCCUAUUCUCCUAUUCCUACAAUAAGAAAUAUCCCAUAUAUCGUCUUGCUUACAGUAUUGCAAUAUAUCGCAACAUAUUGUAUCGCAACCCCUGUAUCGUGAUACAUAUCGUAUCGCCAGAUUAUUGCUGAUACACAGCCCUAGUAUUUCAUAUCGGUAUGCCAAAGAUUUAAAUGAUUUUAAAUCAACAGCAAAACUCUUUCUAUACACACUUACACUUUUAUCCAAU
ensembl:lncRNA